rnacentral:rRNA from 1 species
UACGUGCCAGCAGCCGCGGUAAUACGUAGGCGGCAAGCGUUGUCCGGAAUUAUUGGGCGUAAAGGGAGCGCAGGCGGGAAACUAAGCGGAUCUUAAAAGUGCGGGGCUCAACCCCGUGAUGGGGUCCGAACUGGUUUUCUUGAGUGCAGGAGAGGAAAGCGGAAUUCCCAGUGUAGCGGUGAAAUGCGUAGAUAUUGGGAAGAACACCAGUGGCGAAGGCGGCUUUCUGGACUGUAACUGACGCUGAGGCUCGAAAGCUAGGGUAGCGAACGGGAUUAGAUACCCCUGUAGUC